rnacentral:rRNA from 1 species
GGGGAUUAGUGGCGAACGGGUGAGUAACACGUGGGCAAUCUGCCCUUCACUCUGGGACAAGCCCUGGAAACGGGGUCUAAUACCGGAUACUGACCUGCCAAGGCAUCUUGGCGGGUCGAAAGCUCCGGCGGUGAAGGAUGAGCCCGCGGCCUAUCAGCUUGUUGGUGAGGUAAUGGCUCACCAAGGCGACGACGGGUAGCCGGCCUGAGAGGGCGACCGGCCACACUGGGACUGAGACACGGCCCAG